UACGAAGGUCCCAAGCGUUAUCCGGAUUUAUUGGGUUAAAGGGUGCGUAGGCGGGCUAUUAAGUCAGUGGUGAAAGCCCCAAGCUUAACUUGGGAACUGCCAUUGAUACUGAUGGUCUUGAGUACAUUUGAGGUGGGCGGAAUGUGUCAUGUAGCGGUGAAAUGCUUAGAUAUGACACAGAACACCGAUUGCGAAGGCAGCUCACUAAACUGUAACUGACGCUGAGGCACGAAGGUCAGGGAGCAAACGGG
rnacentral:rRNA from 1 species